UCCCUGGAGGACUAGUGGUUAGGCCACAGUGCUCUCACUGCUGCGGCCCAGGUUCGAUUCCCGGCCAGGGAC
rnacentral:tRNA from 1 species